AUACGUAGGGGACGAGCGUUGUCCGGAAUUACUGGGCGUAAAGGGCGUGCAGGCGGAUAUUUAAGUCAGCUGUAAAAGGCAUGAGCUCAACUCAUGAAUGCGGUUGAAACUGGGUAUCUAGAGUGCUGGAGAGGUAGGCGGAAUUCCCGGUGUAGCGGGGAAAUGCGUAGAUAUCGGGAAGAACACCAGUGGCGAAGGCGGCUUACUGGCCAGCAACUGACGCUGAGGCGCGAAAGCCAGGGGAGCGAACGGGAUUAGAUCCCCCGUUAGUCCUGGCCGUAAACGAUGAAUGCUGGGUGUGGGUGUCGAGAGGCAUCCGUGCCGGAGUUAACGCGAUAAGCAUACCGCCUGGGGAGUACGGUCGCAAGAUUGAAACUUAAAGGAAUUGACGGGG
rnacentral:rRNA from 1 species